UCAUUCUGCUAGUUAUGUGUAUCCCAUGUUAAUUUAUUGCAAGCUGGUAAUUCAGCAAAAAUGCCACAUUCUCUGAAUGUGGAUAUAGAUACCAUUCUUUGAAUAGGAUGUAAAAUAUCCCAUAUUAUGCAGUAGGUUAAGACAUUGACACCAGCUGAGGAGAAGCUAUCACUUUCUAAGCAGAUCUUCUCAGUGGAAAUGCUAUUUUUCUUCGACUUUGAAUAAACCGGUCUCUGAGAUGAGUCAGUCCUUCUGAGAAGUACGCAGAGCUGUAACUAACACUCUUCCCAGUGUCAGAAACCUACAAAGAAAUCUAUCAGCUAAAACUUAGAGAAGGAGAGGGACAG